AUGGCAGCACAGAACGGUCUUGGCGGUCAACGACGGGAGGUGGCGGCGAAGCAGCAGCAAUGUGCAGGCACUGGCAGCGGCAUCCGCGAGCAGAGGCACAACGCUGGUCGUGGGCACCGGCAGCGAAACAUGACGACGAAGCAGCAAAUGCAGCGAGGCAGCGGUGCGGUGGUGAGCUCGCAGGACGAGGACGACGACGAGCUUGGCGCAUCCGGAGGUAGGGACGAGGCCCUGCCGGCAGGCAGGAGGCUCAGAGGAGGGAUGCGAGGUCGAGGAGGAGGCCUCGGGCAUGGAACGCGGGCAACUGCUCGCUGGUCUUGGCACGGGCGCCAUGGCCAUGGCCGUGGUCGGUGGAGGAAGGCAAGGCGGCAUGGCGGCCAAGGGGCAGCGCUUGGUGGCGUUCGAGGGAGGAGCUGGCGCUGGGGGGUUGCGUGGGAUCGGGAGGAAGGGGUCGAGGGGGCUCGCGACAUAAGAGUAGGACGAGGGGAUCGGGAUCGAGCCAAGGCCCCUGGCGGCGCUGAGGAAAAAUGA
rnacentral:rRNA from 1 species